rnacentral:lncRNA from 1 species
CGUUUUGGACGCUGGAACGGAAUGUUCCUAUUGGCUGAGGCAAUGAAAAUGCGAAAGAGCUCAUGCAAAGCACGUUCAGGUGAAAAAUUCUGGAAAUUGGCUAGGGUUUGCUACAGUAACGUCUUCAUCCUCUUCCCAAAAUCGUGGAAAAAAAAUAUGCCCAGAAAUGUACAUUGAACACGUCAUGGUAAUCAUCAAGUAACACACAUCAUCAUUCCAAACUCCAUUUUCAUUAAAUCAAGUUAAACAAAAAGAAAUAAGCAA